UAGACCAGACUCUCUAUUUUAUUUCAUAUAUAGUGAGUCUGGUACCCAAGGUACCUCGUGUAGUUAGCCUGUGCUCCAGACCCCUAACUUGAAAGUAGAGGGUCUGUGUAACCGAGAGCAAAAUCGUGCACGGGGAUUGAAUUGAAUUUUUUGCAUAAUUAUCACACAUCUGUGUAAUCAUGCAAGAAGAAGCGCUAAUAUUUUGUUCGGUCGUGGCAGUAUGAUAUAGAUUUAUUUGUUACAAGAAAAGUUUUGAAAAUGUUGCUCUGCUAUUUGAUGUUGAAGAUCUUGAUUGGGACAAUUCAUUGGUUCUGACCAAAACAGAUUAAAGAUGCUGUGGGCCAAUCUUGCUCAUUUUGCAGCAUUUGAUGGGGAGUGAAUCUACCUUAUGAAGCAAUCGAAGUAAAAUUGACUUGGCAACCAAUCGAUUUGCUUUGAGUAGACAUUUGAUUUUGCUUGGUAGAGGAUGAUUUUUUGAGACAAAAUCUAGUGGAUACGAUGACGGAAAACAUGACUUUCGGAGUAGCGAUAAGAAAUGAAACCGAAAAGUAGACAAGGCGCUUUGGCUUCAAGCCUCAGAGAAUGAUCUCUGGUUAUAAACGCAAGUUUACAUACAGUAGAAAUUGCUAAAGACUAGUAAACAUUUAUCAUUGAUCCGGACAAGGCUGCCUAACUGAGUGGACUAAUUUUAUUAGCAAUGUGAGGCAGUAGGCCUAGGCCCAUGCCUUGUACUUUUCAUAAAUUCUUUUCAUCAUGAUAGUGAUUGAUUUGCUAUAAA